rnacentral:rRNA from 1 species
CGAACGAAGCAUAUCUAACGGAGAUUCGUCGAAGCUGGAUAUGACUUAGUGGCGGACGGGUGAGUAAUGUAUGAGCAACCUGCCUUUCAGAGGGGGACAACAGUUGGAAACGACUGCUAAUACCGCAGUAAUGUAUUUGGGUGGCAUCACCUGGAUACCAAAGGAGCAAUCCGCUGAAAGAUGGGCUCAUAUCUGAUUAGCUUGUUGGCGGGGUAACGGCCCACCAAGGCGACGAUCAGUAGCCGGACUGAGAGGUUGAACGGCCACAUUGGGACUGAGAUACGGCCCAGACUCCUACGGGAGGCAGCAGUGGGGAAUAUUGGGCAAUGGGCGAAAGCCUGACCCAAGCAACGCCGCGUGAAGGAAGAAGGUCUUCGGAUUGUAAACUUCUUCUAUGAGGGACGAAGGACGUGACGGUACCUCAUGAAUAAGCCACGGCUAACUACGUGCCAGCAGCCGC